UAAGACCAGAGGUUUUACUGUACACACACUGAUAACAUCCGAAAAAUGACAGAUUUAAAAAUGGUUCAGCACUAUCAAUAAGCAGUAUGCAUCACCUUUUUCCAACUUUUAGCCUCUCCACUCUUUCUUCUGUCCAACUUUGGCUUGCCUAUCUUGGGUAGAUAAGACAAUGUUAGUAUUUUGCCUUCACAGCCGUUACGAUGUUCUCCUUCAGAUAUUUGAAUUGAUAUAUUUAUGAUAAUAACACAGAACGAGGGAGGACAAGA
rnacentral:misc_RNA from 1 species